rnacentral:rRNA from 1 species
GUGGCUUAAUUUGACUCAACGCGGGAAAUCUUACCGGGUCCGGACACACUGAGGAUUGACAGACAAAUAUAGAAAUUUUAUAUUUCUCAUAUAUAAAGAUGCUAGUUCUUUCAUGAUUAUGUGAUAGGUGGUGCAUGGCCGUUCUUAGUUCGUGGAGUGAUCUGUCUGCUUAAUUGCGUUUCAAUUUUUAUUAUGUAUACGUAUGACCCACGUUUACGCGUGCGAGUCUAGUAUGCUAUCAUUUGAAAGCAACGAACGUGACCGUAUCCUUUUAUUAUAUACGCACGCGUAUAUUUAUUCAUUAAAGGGACCGCUGUUUCUUUUUUUAAACCAGAGGAAGGUUACGGCAAUAACAGGUCUGUGAUGCCC